AGCAUGGUCUUAGCUUGCUAAGACCGAUGGCGACCGGCGCACGGGUGAGUAACACGUAUCCAACCUGCCUUAUACUCCCGGACAGCCUUCUGAAAGGAAGAUUAAUACGGGAUGGUAUCACGGGUCAGCAUUUUCUCGUGAUUAAAGAAUUUCGGUAUAAGAUGGGGAUGCGUUCCAUUAGAUAGUAGGCGGGGUAACGGCCCACCUAGUCUACGAUGGAUAGGGGUUCUGAGAGGAAGGUCCCCCACAUUGGAACUGAGACACGGUCCAAACUCCUACGGGAGGCAGCAGUGAGGAAUAUUGGUCAAUGGGCGCGAGCCUGAACCAGCCAAGUAGCGUGAAGGAUGACUGCCCUACGGGUUGUAAACUUCUUUUAUAAAGGAAUAAAGUGAGGCACGUGUGCCUUUUUGUAUGUACUUUAUGAAUAAGGAUCGGCUAACUCCGUGCCAGCAGCCGCGGUAAUACGGAGGAUCCGAGCGUUAUCCGGAUUUAUUGGGUUUAAAGGGAGCGUAGAUGGGCUGUUAAGUCAGUUGUGAAAGUUUGCGGCUCAACCGUAAAAUUGCAAUUGAUACUGGCAGUCUUGAGUACAGUUGAGGUAGGCGGAAUUCGUGGUGUAGCGGUGAAAUGCUUAGAUAUCACGAAGAACUCCGAUUGCGAAGGCAGCUUACUAAACUGCCACUGACAUUGAUGCUCGAAAGUGUGGGUAUCAAACA
rnacentral:rRNA from 1 species